GACGAUUCGGCUGGCAGCAUCUAUCGUAGAGUGUCGUCGAGAAAAAAAAAUCUAUCGUUCAUGAGGCCAGCUGAGGAUAGGAACAUUUUGGGGAAAAGGCAAAUGGAUCGGAGAAGAGUGAGCAGCUGAGCGGUGCAAGCUGCUGCUGCGGUAGCUGGAGACGGGGCGGGAGGAGGCGGCGAAGGUGGAGCAAAACCUGCGCGGCUUCCUUCCCGUCGAGGCUGCAAGCGCCGAAGCCAUUCGGCAGGAGCACGGACGGCCUGCGUGGUCGGACGGGAAGACGACGUGCUGAAGGCUCGUCGGAUGGGGCGCGGCACCGCCAAGCUGAGCGCAGGGAGGACGAAGGAGCGCGGCAGCAAAGGAGGCCGACAACCCAUGGAUUCAGACAUCAACAGCUAAACUGACGGACGAUAUGUUGCCUCUCUCUGUACCGCCCGAACUGAAGAAAUUCCAGCUAUAGGAACAACGGCAAUUCAAUCUGGAGUACAAACAGAGAUGCAUCUGUGCGCAAAAAACAAAAACAAAAAGGCAAAUUUAGUGAUAUUUUUGACGAAGAUCGUUUUAUCGAGACACUCAGACAACAUAUCACUAUCUAUGGAAAGAAUAGAGUGAAAUGGAAAAUGUCCGUGAAAGGAGCUGGAGAGGGAAGUUUCACUGACCUGGUCGAGUUAUCAAUCGUGAGGCAAACAGAAGGGAUGGAAAAUGCCCACUUACUCCUCUAAAGGUUGGUAUGAUGCUGCGAGGCAUGGGAUUUAACAAUACAACCUUCCUCUAUGUAGCUUCUGGGAAAAUACAGAAUGCUGCAAAAUACAUGGCUCCCCUUCGCCAGAUGUUCCCUCUUUUAGAGACCAAGGACACUCUUGCUUUGCCUGAAGAACUUGCUGAGUUUAAGGGGUACUCAUCUCGGUUAGCAGCAUUAGAUUACACUGUCUCUAUUCAGAGCGAGGUGUUUGUGACGACUCAAGGGGGGAACUUCCCUCACUUUCUGAUGGGGCACAGGCGUUACUUGCUAGGAGGGAAUGCAAAGACAAUAAAACCUGACAAACGGAAGGUGGUCUUAUCUUUUGAUGAUCCGAAUAUCAGGUUAGUUUGAGCUGCCAUUCUAUGUUGGCAGAGUAUGAUAGGUCACAUUGAAUCAGUUUUUGACUAUUUUCUGAAAUGCCUUCACCAAGCCUAAUUGCUGAAGCAGUUGUUUCUCACCCAAGGCUGGCCUUCUUAUCUUUCUGCCAACCAUGAGUGACCUCUGUAGCUGCUGCCCAUUUUUCUAAAGACAUUAUCUCCAUAAAUUGCAAACACCUCUUAAUUGACCUUCACAUACUUAAUCUGAUGAUAAGUAAAUUCAAAUAGUCUCUCCGAUCCACAAUAAGUGUUGGGAACUUAGUACGAAUGUUGUGCACUUAUUAUAGAUCGGAGGGAGUAAGCAAGCAUAAAAAAGGAAGAAAGGAAGGAAGUUUAUUUAUACAUGCGCUUGUAGCAGACACGUAGCAAUCCAUGUAGCAGAAAACAUGCAGUAAAUGAGUACAGCUGAGUGACAAACUGAACUCUUUAUAUGCCUUGGUCAUUCACCUUGAGGGCGCACACGGUUUCAGAUUGCAGGCCGCUGCAGCCAGCACAGAAAUUCAGAAACUCCUUCCAUUAGGUUUGAUGGAUAUGUGGUAAAACAGCACACAUGCCCAUAAGCCUGUAAUUUGUAGCAUACAAUCAGAACUGGAACCAUAGACUUUAAAAGGAAUAACCAAACAUAAUACAAACUGAAAACUAAUGAUACGAAAAAUAGUGCGAUGGAAAACAACAGAGCAAGAGAGAUGGUCCUAUAAGUGACAUCACAGUGAGGAAAAAUAGAACAUCACAAAAGGAAACAGAGAUAACCUGACAUACACGGUUUAAACAACGGGAAAGUAUCCCUUAACCUAGAUUACAUAGCAGAGCGCUAGAAGAAAAAAGAAUCCACUGAUUCUGCCAAGAAAUGAUACCUGCGAAGAAGAACAAUUCAAAAAGAGUGUACAACAUUCAAAAUGCAGGCAAAAAUAAAACAUGUGCAUGCAAACAAAAUAUAUCAUGUAAGAAGUGACAUUCAUAGAUGAGCAAGAGCUUCAUGGUACACUAUAUUUCUAGUCUGGGUAGUCGGGUUGCCAGAUUCAUCGAGCGCCAAUACUUUCAGCCCUUCCCUUGAUGUUACCCUUGAGAUUGCAACAUAGAAUUGCCCAUGCGAAAACACCGGUUUAGGCAAGUAGACCCCAACCUUCUUAAGAGUUUGACCCUGGCUCUUGUUGAUAGUCGUUGCAUAGCAUAGCCUAACUGGAUAUUGACGGUGCUGCAAUGUAAAUGGCCAUUUGGUGGCUGGUGCGUGUAGAACAAUUCUUGGAAUGCACACACGUUCACCAAUAUUGGUCCGUGUCAUAAUCUUAGCUUCAAGGACCCAUUCUCCUAGACGUGUAACCAUUAAACGGGUGCCAUUGCAAAGUCCAAUAGCCUGGUUAAUAUUCCUUGACAACAUUAUUGGAACCCCUAUCUUCAAUGAAAUCCUAUGCUGCGGAAAGUUUGGAGGAUCAAUCUUAUGGAGAAAUUCAGGAGGAUAUAACAGUUCCGCAUCAGCCGCAUGGUCGAGAGUUUUACAUAUAGAAUCACAUCUCUCGAACAGCAUCUCCUCCCCAGGCACCUUAGAGAAAACAGUCUCGUUGAUAGAGUCGGCAACUUUAUUAGUAGGACACACAAUGGCGCAGUCUGCGAGAUAAGCUGCAUCAGAAUACAUUUGAGUAAAUGAAUCGUACACUGCAUCAACAAUAGCGGAAAUAGGAUCAGAGUCUGGCAGCAGUGCUGUAUCUGGUGGCAAAGAGAUCCAUGAAGGGGUAGCCUCUCCUUCUCGUGUAUCCAUGUGCACAGCUCCAUCACCGACAUCGAGGGCCCACUGCGCAAAUUCCUCCAAAGCAGCUCGUUCUUCAUCGGACAACUGUGGAUUAGACAAUCUCAUAUUUUUGCGUAGCUUGAGGACAGUUACAUGCUGCCAAAGGGGUGACUUCAUAAGGGAAGAGUUCACAAUUUCCGCUCUACUGCCCCCUUCCACAACAGGUAACACUUGCCUGAAAUCCCCUUCCAAAACUACAGUGUUCCCACCGAAAGGGAGCAAUUUCCGUGAAGGUUCAUUCGCAGACAAAAUGUCCCUCAUGCUUCUAUCAACCGCUUCAAAGCAACGUCUGUGAGUCAUUGGCGCUUCAACCCAAAGUAUGAGUGUUGCUUUCUCUAUUAAUUCGGCUAGAUUACUGCCCCGGGAAAUGCUGCACAUGCUUCGCUCAUUGACUUCAACAGGUAUCCUAAAACGUGAAUGAGGAGAUACGGGGAACUGGAGGCGGAUGAGGAUAAGCGUCAGCAAGCAUAAAUUCAGUCGUCAGUGGCUGGUGCAUGCAUAUAUACAUCAACAGGAAACACCAAAAUGUGGUUUUAAUGAUCAUCACUGUAGUUAUACCUCUCAAGGCAUGUGAUACGCGUACAACACGCGUCCGUUGGGAACCCCAAGAGGAAGGUGUGAUGCGUACAACGGCAAGUUUUCCCUCAGUAAGAAACCAAGGUUUAUCGAACCAGUAGGAGCCAAUAAGCACGUUGAAGGUUGAUGGCGGCGAGAUGUAGUGCGGCGCAACAACAGGGAUUCCGGCGCCAACGUGGAACCUGCACAACACAACCAAAAUACUUUGCCCCAACGAAACAGUGAGGUUGUCAAUCUCACCGGCUUGCUGUAAAAAAGGAUUAGAUGUAUAGUGUGGAUGAUGAUUGUUUGCAGAAAACAGUAGAACAAGUAUUGCAGUAGAUUGUAUUCGAUUAAAAGAAUGGACCGGGGUCCACAGUUCACUAGAGGUGUCUCUCCCAUAAGAAUAAGUAGCAUGUUGGGUGAAUAAAUUACAGUUGGGCAAUUGACAAAUAAAGAGGGCAUGACAAUGCACAUACAUGAUAUGAUGAGU